AAGAGAAUAAAAUAAAAUGCAUCACACACUAUUUUGAGAGGAUAUGCUCUUGUAUGCCUGUGGGUGUUGUCUCCUUUGAGCGUAAAAUACUUCCUUUGGAAAAUAGCUUUCCUUGUGUUUCUUAUCCAAAGGCUGAUUUUUGGAGCACAUCUUCUAUUCCUCUCUGUCGUUUCAAGGUUUACAGGUCUGGCUUGAUAUAAGAUCAAUCUUGUGAAGCUCUUGAAGUGGAUUUUGCUAACAAGUAUCUUGGAGGUGGUGCUCUUCACAGGGGUUGUGUACAAGAGUUCAAGUUGAAGGAGAUGAUGGAAGUUGUGUGGUUUGUAUGGGUUUGAAGAAACAAUGGAUUUGGCUUUUUUCGUUGUAAUGGAUAUUUUUAUUUUUAU